ACGGGAGGCAGCAGUGCGGAAUUUUAGAUAAUGGAGGCAACUCUGAUCUAGCGACGCCGCGUGCAGGAAGAAGGUCUUCGGAUUGUAAACUGCUGUGGUAAGGGAAAAAUGYCAUGUAGAGUGGAAAGCUACAUGGAGGGAUGGUACYUUACUAGAAAGCCCCGGCUAACUACGUGCCAGCAGCCGCGGUAAUACGUAGGGGGCGAGCGUKACCCGGAAUCACUGGGCGUAAAGGGAGCGUAGGUGGCCUGACAUGUCRACUGUGAAAACCCGGAGCUCAACUCCGGACUUGCAGUUGAAACUGCCAGGCUUGAGGACGGUAGAGGAAGACGGAACUGCCAGUGUAGGGGUAAAAUCCUUAGAUAUUGGCAGGAACGCCGGUGACGAAGGUGGUUUUCUGGGCCGGUUCUGACACUGAUGCUCGAAAGCCAGGGGAGCGAACGGGAUUAGAUACCCCGGUAGUCCUGGCYCUAAACGAUGUUCACUAGGUGUGGGGAGCGGAAAGCUUUCCGUGCUAAAGCUAACGCGAUAAGUGAACCGCCUGGGGAGUACGCCCGCAAGGGUGAAACUCAAAGGAAUUGACGGGGGCCCGCACAAGCGGUGGAGCGUGUGGUUUAAUUCGAUGCUAAGCGAAGGACCUUACCAAGGUUUGACAUGCUGAUAGUAGUGA
rnacentral:rRNA from 1 species